UCCUAUCAAUUGUGAUAAAAAAACAAAUAAUGAAAUUAAAAGAAAAUAAAUAAGAAAUAGGAAACUUACCUUUUCUCUUGAGUGGACCAUUAUGGAGAGAAUAAGGUUAAAUGGGGAAUGAGGUGAAGAGGAGAGCCAUUUUCUUGUGGCUGUCGUGUGUUGAAGAGAGGAAGAGAGAGAGAGAGUGGCGAGCUAGAGAGAGAAAGGGGAAGGGGCUGCCAUUUUCUAGAGAGAAGGAGGAAAGAAAGAAAGAAAGAAAUAAGGAGAGGAAGAAGAAGUGGGGAUUCGAAAUCCCUAGGUGUAGGUGCUCAAGAGGAGAAUCAACCUUGUGAUUUUGAUUUCUAUCAAGGAGGUAGCAAAUAUGUUUCUCUAUGGCACGCGUGGUGAUCUGGGGAGUUCUAUCGUCAUGGUGUGUAUGGCGUGGGGGCAUCCUAUGGACGAAAAAUGAUCAAUUAAAUACACCAUUUUUUUAAUACUGUUAUGUUUUAUGAGACUUUUUAAACUUAUCAGUGAGACUUGAAUUAUUGGUUGUUUUAGAACUUUGCAUAAACUGAUAUUUUCUUUUAAAACUAUUGGAUCCAACUUGCAUGUUUUAAUCAAGACCCCACUGAAACCUUUAUAAUAAGUGGCUUUCUUUUGUAAACCAAUGAAAAUGUGAAUGUUUUAUUAGCUACUA